GCCUGGCACAGUGGCUCAUGCCUGUAAUCCCAGCACUUUGGGAGGCUUAGGUGGGAGGACUGCUUGAGCCCAGGAGUUCAAGACCAGUCUGGGCAAUGGCGAAACCCCGUCUCUACUCAAAAUACAAAAAUUAGCUGGGCAUAGUGGUGUGCGCCUAUAAUCCCAGCUACUCAGGAGGCUGAGGCAGGAGUAGCUCUUGAACCUGGGAGGCGGAGGUUGCAGUGAGCUGAGAUCACGCCAUUGCACUCCAGCCUGGGCAACAGAGCAAGACUCUGUCUCA
rnacentral:sRNA from 1 species